AUUGAACGCUGGCGGCAGGCCUAACACAUGCAAGUCGAACGAGUGGCGGACGGGUGAGUAAUGUCUGGGAAACUGCCCGAUGGAGGGGGAUAACUACUGGAAACGGUAGCUAAUACCGCAUACCAUCGGAUGUGCCCAGAUGGGAUUAGCUAGUGGGUGGGGUAACGGCUCACCUAGGGGACGAUCCCUAGCUGGUCUGAGAGGAUGACCAGCCAAACGGGAACUGAGACACGGUCCAGCCUCCUACGGGAGGAAGAAGUGGGGAAUAUUGCAAAAGGGGCGAAGGCCUGAUGCAGCCAUGCGGCGUGUAUGAAGAAGGCCUUCGGGUGGUAAAGUACUUUCAGCGGGGAGGCGUUACUCGAAGAAGAAGCACCGGCUAACUCCGUGCCAGCAGCCGCGGUAAUUC
rnacentral:rRNA from 1 species